rnacentral:rRNA from 1 species
UGGGGAAUAUUGCGCAAUGGGGGGAACCCUGACGCAGCCAUGCCGCGUGAAUGAAGAAGGCCUUAGGGUUGUAAAGUUCUUUCGGUAUUGAGGAAGGUUGAUGUGUUAAUAGCACAUCAAAUUGACGUUAAAUACAGAAGAAGCACCGGCUAACUCCGUGCCAGCAGCCGCGGUAAUACGGAGGGUGCGAGCGUUAAUCGGAAUAACUGGGCAUAAAGGGCACGCAGGCGGUUAUUUAAGUGAGGUGUGAAAGCCCCGGGCUUAACCUGGGAAUUGCAUUUCAGACUGGGUAACUAGAGUACUUUAGGGAGGGGUAGAAUUCCACGUGUAGCGGUGAAAUGCGUAGAGAUGUGGAGGAAUACCGAAGGCGAAGGCAGCCCCUUGGGAAUGUACUGACGCUCAUGUGCGAAAGCGUGGGGAGCAAACAGGAUUAGAUACCCUGGUAGUCCACGCUGUAAACGCUGUCGAUUUGGGAGUUGGGGUUUAACUCUGGCGCCCGUAGCUAACGUGAUAAAUCGACCGCCUGGGGAGUACGGCCGCAAGGUUA